rnacentral:rRNA from 1 species
GACGAACGCUGGCGGCGUGCCUAAUACAUGCAAGUCGAGCGGACUUUCAAGAAGCUUGCUUUUUGAAAGUUAGCGGCGGACGGGUGAGUAACACGUGGGCAACCUGCCUGUAAGACGGGGAUAACUCCGGGAAACCGGGGCCAAUACCGGAUAAUAUCUUUCUUCGCAUGAAGGAAGGUUGAAAGGCGGCGCAAGCUGCCGCUUGCAGAUGGGCCCGCGGCGCCUUAGCUAGUUGGUGAGGUAACGGCUCACCAAGGCGACGAUGCGUAGGCUACCUGAGAGGGGGAUCGGCGACACUGGGAGUGAGACACGGCCCAGACUCCUACGGGAGGCAGCAGUAGGGAAUCUUCCGCAAGGGGCGAAAGUCUGACGGAGCAACGCCGCGUGAGCGAAGAAGGUCUUCGGAUCGUAAAGCUCUGUUGUCAGGGAAGAACAAGUACCGUUCGAAUAGGGCGGUACCUUGUCGGUACCUGACCAGAAAGCCACGGCUAACUACGUGCCAGCCGCCGCCGUAA